AUUGAACGCUGGCGGAAUGCUUACACAUGCAAGUCGAACGGCAGCACGGACUUCGGUCUGGUGGCGAGUGGCGAACGGGUGAGUAAUGUAUCGGAACGUGCCCAGUCGUGGGGGAUAACGUAGUGAGAAUUACGCUAAUACCGCAUACGAUCUAUGGAUGAAAGCGGGGGAUCGCAAGACCUCGCGCGAUCGGAGCGGCCGAUAUCAGAUUAGGUAGUUGGUGGGGUAAAGGCCCACCAAGCCAACGAUCUGUAGCUGGUCUGAGAGGACGACCAGCCACACUGGAACUGAGACACGGUCCAGACUCCUACGGGAGGCAGCAGUGGGGAAUUUUGGACAAUGGGCGAAAGCCUGAUCCAGCCAUUCCGCGUGCAGGAUGAAGGCCCUCGGGUUGUAAACUGCUUUUGUACAGAACGAAAAGGUUUCUACUAAUACUAGGAGCUCAUGACGGUACUGUAAGAAUAAGCACCGGCUAACUACGUGCCAGCAGCCGCCGUAA
rnacentral:rRNA from 1 species